UCCAUUUGUGUGACUUUAACAAGGUAGAUUUUCUCAGCUUGCAAUUAUGGGGAAAAUAUGUCUUUAACAGUUGAGCUAUGGGAGGCAGAGAAUUAUAACAGGUUUAACUGGUUUUGAUGAGGAAAAGCCUAGGAAGAGCUAGUUUCGACUUGAUGAAGGACAGGAAAGGCUGGUUGUGGUAGAUUAAUGGAUAGGCAGGUACUUCAGUGUGUGUCCUUCCUGGUGUUUUGGGUCUGGGACCAUCACUCAGUGCUCACCAUUAAGACACUUGAGUGGAGCAGUUUUCACUGACAGUUCUGUCUCUGUCAUCCAGUUCUGAUCUUCCUGUGAUUUUUCCGGUGUAGUGAGAUCAAGGACACAGGACCCUGAGAGUGCCUCUGUCGGUUUUCAGUUGCUGUGCAAAGGAUUAGUGAAAAAACUCCAUCUAACAUGAUGAGUGUCUCAGAAAUACACCCCAUCAGAGAAUUCAUGGAAGACCCAGACUUCCUAUGGAAAGGCCUUCAAAAAAUAAGAUAGGUCCUCCUGCUGAAUGUGACUACAGACCCUUGACUACAGGACCGAAAACCUCUUAUAAAAAACAGAAAAAGGCGACUGAAAUAACAACUGGAUAUGUAAUACACGGAUUAGUAUACAGACUGGGGUUUCAAUACCACUAUGGAGAGCUUUGGGAGAGUAGUGAUUCCUGAAGAUAUUCGUCGAAGCUGUCCUGCCACAUGGCCACCACUAGAGGGCGGAGCAGACCACUUUCAAGCGUUUUCUCCAGAGGUGAGUUCAAAGGAAGUCACUAUGGACAAAAGGCUAAAUGCUCAGCAGAUAUUCUCCCUGAGAAGUUUGUCCACCUCCUAACUACCCAAGGUGUGAAUCACCUCUAAAGUUUAGGGGCACAGGAAGAGCUGGCAAGCACUAUGAAUUGCAUUGAAACUUAGUAUUUCAUUGGAAGAAAAGAUUCUUGCCUUUGAUAACCUUCAUUUAUUAAAAUAUUUCAGCCCUUGCCAUGUGCCAGAGGAAAUAAAUAGAAGUAGCUCUUUGUCAUUUCCCUCCACAGGCUUACAGUGUAGGUGGCAAGG